GACGAACGCUGGCGGCGCGCUUAACACAUGCCAGUCGAACGGAAAGGCCUGCUUUCCCUUGUGGAUUGCGGGUACUCGAGUGGCGAACGGGUGAGUAACACGUGAGUGAUCUGCCCCCAACUUGGGUAUAAGCCUGGGAAACUGGGUCUAAUUCCCGAUAGGACUGCAGGGUGGUGCCUGUGGUGGAAAACGAUUUUCUAGUGGUUGGGGAUGAGCUCGCGGCCUAUCAGCUUGUUGGUGGGGUAAUGGCCUACCAAGGCGGCGACGGGUAGCCGGCCUGAGAGGGUGGACGGCCACAUUGGGACUGAGAUACGGCCCAGACUCCUACGGGAGGCAGCAGUGGGGAAUAUUGCACAAUGGGCGGAAGCCUGAUGCAGCGACGCCGCGUGGGGGAUGACGGCCUUCGGGUGGUAAACUCCUUUCGACCGCGAGGAAGCCACCUGGUUGGAAGGGUGGUGACGGUAGUGGUAGAAGAAGCACCGGCUAACUACGUG
rnacentral:rRNA from 1 species